rnacentral:rRNA from 1 species
AGCGUAGACGGAGCAGCAAGUCUGAUGUGAAAACCCGGGGCUCAACCCCGGGACUGCAUUGGAAACUGUUGAUCUGGAGUGCCGGAGAGGUAAGCGGAAUUCCUAGUGUAGCGGUGAAAUGCGUAGAUAUUAGGAGGAACACCAGUGGCGAAGGCGGCUUACUGGACGGUAACUGACGUUGAGGCUCGAAAGCGUGGGGAGCAAACA